UACGUAGGGUGCGAGCGUUAAUCGGAAUUACUGGGCGUAAAGUGUGCGCAGGCGGCUUGGCAAGUCGAGUGUGAAAUCCCCGGGCUUAACUGGGAGAGGUCAACAGAAACUACCAGACUUGAGUAUAGGAGAGGGUACUGGAAUUCCCGGUGUAGCGGUGAAAUGCGCAGAGAUCGGGAGGAACACCAAUGGCGAAAGCAGGUACCUGGACUAUUACUGACACUAAGCUGCGAAAGCUAGGGGAGCAAACAGG
rnacentral:rRNA from 1 species